CCUACGGGAGGCAGCAGUGAGGAAUAUUGGUCAAUGGGCGCGAGCCUGAACCAGCCAAGUCGCGUGAGGGAAGACGGUCCUAUGGAUUGUAAACCUCUUUUGUCGGGGAGCAAAAGACGCCACGCGUGGCGUUCCGAGAGUACCCGACGCAACAGCAUCGGCUAACUCAGUGCCAGCCGCCGCGGUAAUACGGAGGAUCGGAGCGUUAUCCGGAUUUAUUGGGUUUAAAGGGAGCGUAGGUGGAUUGUUAAGUCAGUUGUGAAAGUUUGCGGCUCAACCGUAAAAUUGCAGUUGAAACUGGCAGUCUUGAGUACAGUAGAGGUGGGCGGAAUUCGAGGUGUAGCGGUGAAAUGCUUAGAUAUCACGAAGAACUCCGAUUGCGAAGGCAGCUCACUGGACUGCAACUGACACUGAUGCUCGAAAGUGUGGGUAUCAAACAGGAUUAGAUACCCUGGUAGUC
rnacentral:rRNA from 1 species